rnacentral:tRNA from 1 species
GUGUUUGUAACUUAGUUGGUAGGGUGCUUACCUAGUGUGUAUGAAGUUGUGGGUUCCAUCCCCAGCACACAUA